rnacentral:rRNA from 1 species
GAGUCUGUUGUUAUUAUUCAUAUUAAUUUUUUUAAAAGUUUUAAUUUUUUAUUUUAGUUUAUUUAAUUUAAAAAGGUAUAAUAAAUUUUAGGAAUAGAUAAUAAUAAUUUAUAAUUUUGAUUAGAUGUGUUUGUUAAUGCUAUAAAAUGGGUGUGGAAAUAUUUGUAAAAUCUAUUAUAUAAUAAUAAUAAUAAAUUACAUUAAAUUAUUAGUCAGAAAUGGAUGCCAGCCGUUGCGGUAAUUUCUAUGCUUUUAAAUAUUAUACAUUUAUCAAAUAAAAUUGUUAAUACCAAAUUUUAACCAAAAAAAAAUCAUUGUUGCCUUUAUUUGUUUUUAAACACCGUACGGUAUAUGCAAAUAUAAAAUUAUAGUAAUUAUACAUUAUAUUAUAUUAUAUUUAUUCACAUAUUUUACAUAAAAACACUCCAUAAUUUUGACACCAUGAUAAGGCUUUAAUAUUGAAAUUGUAAAUUUUAUAAUCAAAAUUUAUUAUUUAUAUAAAAUAUUAAAAUUUAGAUAAAACAAUAAAUUAAAAAGGUAUUGUUGCCCACCAAUUUUUAUAAUAAAAAUAACGUGCAGUAAUUAAUAUAUUUAUAAAAAUGUAUUUU